GCCGGGCGUGGUGGUGGACGCCUGUAAUCCCAGCUACCUGGGAGGCUGAGGCAGGAGAAUUGCUUGAACCCGGGAGGCAGAGGUUGCAGUGAGCUGAGAUUGCGCCAUUGCACUCCAGCCUGGGUGACAGAGCGAGACUCUGUUUCAA
rnacentral:sRNA from 1 species